AACGAACGCUGGCGGCAUGCCUAACACAUGCAAGUCGAACGAGACCUUCGGGUCUAGUGGCGCACGGGUGCGUAACGCGUGGGAACCUGCCCUUAGGUUCGGAAUAACUCCCCGAAAGAGGUGCUAAUACCGGAUAAUGUCUUCGGACCAAAGAUUUAUCGCCUUUGGAUGGGCCCGCGUUGGAUUAGCUAGUUGGUAGGGUAAAAGCCUACCAAGGCGACGAUCCAUAGCUGGUCUGAGAGGAUGAUCAGCCACACUGGGACUGAGACACGGCCCAGACUCCUACGGGAGGCAGCAGUGGGGAAUAUUGGACAAUGGGCGAAAGCCUGAUCCAGCAAUGCCGCGUGAGUGAUGAAGGCCUUAGGGUUGUAAAGCUCUUUUACCCGGGAUGAUAAUGACAGUACCGGGAGAAUAAGCACCGGCUAACUCCGUG
rnacentral:rRNA from 1 species